UCUCCGUUGGUGAACCAGCGGAGGGAUCAUUACAGGACUCGCAAGACUCCUACAACCCUGUGAACUUAACUAUAAGCACGUUGCUUCGGCGGGUGUCUCGGAGGGGGUUCUCCCUCCCCGAGACGCUAAACCCGCCGGCAGCCUACUAUACUCUGUCUCUUUGCGUUGGCAUCUCGAGAACAAUCAAACAAGUUAAAACUUUCAACAACGGAUCUCUUGGUUCUG
rnacentral:misc_RNA from 1 species